AACGAACGCUGGCGGCAGGCUUAACACAUGCAAGUCGAACGCAUCGCAAGAUGAGUGGCAGACGGGUGAGUAACGCGUGGGAAUCUACCUUUUGCUACGGAAUAGCUCCGGGAAACUGGAAUUAAUACCGUAUGUGCCCUUUGGCGGUGGACGCUGGAGGGGAAAGAUUUAUCGGCAAAGGAUGAGCCCGCGUUGGAUUAGCUAGUUGGUGGGGUAAAGGCCUACCAAGGCGACGAUCCAUAGCUGGUCUGAGAGGAUGAUCAGCCACAUUGGGACUGAGACACGGCCCAAACUCCUACGGGAGGCAGCAGUGGGGAAUAUUGGACAAUGGGCGCAAGCCUGAUCCAGCCAUGCCGCGUGUGUGAUGAAGGCCUUAGGGUUGUAAAGCACUUUCACCGGUGAAGAUAAUGACGGUAACCGGAGAAGAAGCCCCGGCUAACUUCGUGCCAGCCGCCGCGGUAAUAC
rnacentral:rRNA from 1 species